rnacentral:rRNA from 1 species
AUUGAACGCUGGCGGCAUGCCUUACACAUGCAAGUCGAACGGCAGCACGGGUGCUUGCACCUGGUGGCGAGUGGCGAACGGGUGAGUAAUACAUCGGAACGUACCUUAUCGUGGGGGAUAACGCAGCGAAAGCUGUGCUAAUACCGCAUACGCCCUGAGGGGGAAAGCGGGGGAUCGAAAGACCUCGCGCGAUUAGAGCGGCCGAUGCCUGAUUAGCUUGUUGGUGGGGUAAAAGCCCACCAAGGCGACGAUCAGUAGCUGGUCUGAGAGGACCAUCAGCCACACUGGGACUAAGACACGGCCCAGGCUCCUACGGGAGGCAGCAGUGGGGAAUUUUGGACAAUGGGGGCAACCCUGAUCCAGCAAUGCCGCGUGAGUGAAGAAGGCCUUCGGGUUGUAAAGCUCUUUUGUCAGGGAAGAAACACCGGCUCUAACACAGUCCGGGAAUGACGGUACCUGAAGAAUAAGCACCGGCUAACUACGUGCCAGCAGCCGCGGUAA